rnacentral:miRNA from 1 species
GCAGAUACAUUCCAGCCAAUCGGCAGCAGACCCUCCCUCCCAGACCCUCCCACCUCCUGGACAGCUCACUAAGAAUGCAGCUUCACAAUGAAUUAUAUAAUGGAUGCUGUCCAGGAGGUGGGAGGGUCUGGGAGGGAGGGUCUGCUGCUGAUUGGCUGGAAUGUGUCUG